AUCACUCCAGUGCCCCCUCUGCAGAAAUGAUGACACAUUUCUCAUGGAUAUGUUCACCAUGGGGAUCCGAAUGCCCUUGAGACCACCAUCAUGGGAGAGCAUUAAUGCAUUCACCGAGUUCGGAGAGAGACACGGGCACUGCGAUGCCAGUGAGUGCCUUUGUCCAGGAGGCAGGCAGGAGGCAGAGGAGGAGGGGCCCUGGGAACUGCUCCUGUGCUCCUCCUGUGCUGCUGAGGGCACCCA